GGGAGCCGUUGCGCGCGCGCGCCCGCGAGGCCGUUGGGCGCGGGGCGGGGGGGAGGCCCGCCGUGAGGGGAGUGAGGCGGGCGGCUGCGCGCGCGGGGCGGCCCCAGGCGGGCGGUGUAGCGGGGCAGGAGCAGAGCGCCGGGUUUAAAAGAGAAGGGAGGGACGGCUAGAAACCGCGGGAUGCGGCGCGCCAGGCUCGCGCCUCGAGGUGAGACAGCGGCAGGGCGCCUCACGGGGCGGGGGGUGCUCCACGCCUGCGGGGCGUGAGGCGGGCCGGCGGCGGGUCCCCGCCCGGCUGGGGUGGGCAGCGCCGCGCCGCGGAGCGGAGUCUCCUCCCGGCGAGGAAAAGGCGUGAGCGGCGUGUGGCAGCCGCCCCGCCUGGCGCCGCGGGAGGGAGAGCGAGUGCGGUGCCUGGGAGGGGUCGCCGCCGCUUCGCGCGCCCUCGCGUGUGGUGACGCCCCGAAGCACUGAGGAGGCUGUUGGCGCCUGGCGGCCUCGCCCCUCCCGGCGCCGGUCAGGCCCGAGCGGAGCGCGUGGGGCGGCAGCGCCCGGGCAGGUAGCGGCAGCGCGGCCGGCCCGCGCCCUGCGCCCUCGAGGAGCGGGGCCAGCGACACGAGCAGAGAGAAUCGCUUGUGUGCUAGUGGGGAUGGGGAGAAACGUUUCUGGGCUGUAUGAAGUCUCCAUUUACAGGCGCUAUCGUGAGAAAACUACCACUAAUGCCCACAAAAGAACAGUAAGAAGGGGUGGGGUGCACCUUGUUUGAUAAACAUGUUUGGUUCUGUUUUUUGCACCUUAUGUAGCCUCACAGGAAAACAUGAUGAGGUUUUUAUCAAUUAUUUGUAAUAACUGCCCAGAACUUAGUUUUGAGACCAAAAACCUUUAAAUAUGCCUGUCCUUCUCAGUCUUGGAAGUGUGAAGGAGGCUGGGUCCUGGAAACUUGUUGGGAGGAAUGGUAAACUCUGAAGGGGAAAAAAUACUUUGUAUGCAGUGUGUCCUGGUAUAAGGAAAACUCUCCAUCUUUUUUUGUACUAGGUGAAUAUGGUGCUCUUGCAGUUGUGCUAUUGGUAAGAAUGAGUCUGAGAGCUUUGCCUGACCGAGGACUGCAGGAUUCACUUUGCAUUUUAUUGCUUCUUGAAAGCAUGUGUUGUACGAACAAGUGAGCUUAAUCAGAAUGUAGAGAAACCUGUAGACAUGAUCACCUGUGGGCACAGAGCUUUGAGCAACGAUUGUUUGGCAAGUAUCUGCAGAUAUGGCCUUCACAUUCUUCCUGGAGGCAAGUAGUUUCACCUGAAUUUUGCUUGCAGAUCCAGUUGUGUUUACCUUAACUGAUUCUUUCUUACUAGUGAUUUAAAUAUCUCACAUUAUAAUUUUUUUAAUACAUAACAGUGAUCUCUUUUUUUUUUUUAUGCCCAAGAGCAGAAAACAAUGUUUCUUUAUCAAAAAAAAAAAAAAAAACCCACCAAAAUUUGGGAGCUUUCAUUCUCUUAACUUUUCUUUUUGCUCCUGAUUAGCUGGUUGCUUUGUUCAAUUACUCUUUUUCUUAGGAGUACAAAGAAAGGAAAGUAUAGUACCUCUGCUGGAAGCUGUUUGCACAGGAAUUCCCUGCUCUGGCUUGAAAUUAGUUGGAGUUGUGGGAGGGGAAGUUCUGUUACUGCAAGACAGUGAUUGCUGGAACCAAAAGUUCUAUUUAAUUUAUGAUAAGCUGCUUUUUGAGCAGCACCUUAGGCUUAAGUAUGUGUUAGGAAUGCUUGGUCUAGUGAGAUAGAUUAGAUGACCUCUUGAGACCUUGUGUGGAUCAUAUAUAAAGAUGACUACUGAUUUGUCUUCUCCAAACUACACCCCAAAAAACCCCCCACCACUAUAGAUAUUUAGAAGUUGAGAUGUCCUUCCCACUGCUUCUAAAAAGAGGGAGGCAAAAGAAAGAAAUCAUCCACUGAGCCCCACUGACACUAUGGAGAAGUAACUUGGUUCUGUUUGCUGUAGGAAGAAGUAUUUUCACUUGGCAAAAGAAGAUGGUAUGAUAUAAAAAGCAGAAGGAAAUAUGCUUUGAUGCAGAAACCAUGAUUAUAAAAUCUAUAAUGACUUCUUCUGGGUUUCUCUAGUAUAUAUAGAGAAGGGAAAAAAAAUCUUCCUUUCUGCAAAAGGCAGGGUGGUUUAUGGGAAUUAGUAAAUGGUUAAAAAGAAUAUAAUAUUGUAUUUGCAAAGGGAAGAAAUUCUAAAGCACAUACAAAAGAAAUGUGCUGCACACAGCCUUGGGAGCAAGUCUCCAAAGAGACAUCAUGCAAGAUAAAUACCUAUGCUGGAUUGCAUUUUAUUUCAAAAACAAAAUGCUGCAUUCCAGCCUUGGUAUCUUGCAGUGUGAGAACAUCCCCUCUUAGGAUCACUCCUGUCAGUUUUCUCUGCUGCUAAAGGCUUCUGCCCCGAAGAGAUGGAGAACUUUUGAGCACGAUGCUUAUGCGAUUCUGUGAAUGUUUUCUCCAUGAUUCAUGAUGAUUGUCUCAAAUCUUCACCAUGUUCUUCAAAAAAUUGUCUGCCUCUUUCCCUGAAGGAAAGCUAGUUGCCUCUUGUUUUUGUGAACUCAAAUUCAGCUGUUACUUGGAGAAAGCCAUGUGCUUCAAUCUGAGGUGUGCACCUCUUCUCUGCUGUUAACUUCUAAACUAGAAUGUGUUUCUCUUGUUAUAGCAUUAUUACCAUAUAGAUUCAGAACAAGAUUGCCCCCAUAUCCAUCUUCCUUCUUAAACUGUUCAUUGUCUUUAAGGUCUUCUAUAGCAAUAUCCAUUAACCUAUGAAGGAUGGUUACUUCUUCUAUACUCCUGAAAAGACCUUGUUACAGCACAAUUUUUGCUUAGAUAUUUUUAGAAGAUCGUGUUUAUGGAAACUGAGAGUUGCACUUCCUCAAGAGUACCUAAAUGCUGAAGACUUCCAGUAGCAGAUAGGUAUCUAUCAAUCUUCCCCAAUCUGGACCAUUACUCUCCUGUAGAAUAAUUGCCCAGACUUUAAUUUUGAAGAGUAGAGCUGAGGGAGAUUUUGGGGGGUGGAGGGGGAACACAACUGAUAGCAUUAAAAGUUGCAACUAAAAUGCAGCUUUUCAAGAAAUUUUUCUUAAAGCACAAUCAGGUACUUAUGAAGGAAAGAACUAAUGAUUAAACAGUCUAAUCCAAUUGAGUGGUGUGGUAGUAAAAAGGACAUAAAAUUAAAAUGGCAAAGAGGAGCUGAGGCACUUGCUUGACUUGGCUGCCUCUUCCUAUGGCUAAGGAAGGCUGCAUGUAGGAGUGCUGCCUCCUCAUUCUCUUCAGGAGCCUCUAAGCGUUUGUUUUCUUGCCAGUGUCUUUCCUACAAGGAAUCUAAUUGUGGUGCCAGCUCCAGACUGGUAGAGGUUUUUUUGGGGGGGUGAGAUGGGAUUUUUUCCAAGAAAUUAUUGUGGUGUUUGGUGUUUGUUCAGUUAUAAAUACUUGGGAUGCUAAGCAAGCGGAGGUGAAGCAAACCUAAAUCACUGCUAGUAGUGGUAUGUGAUAAGACACUGGACUUCAAUGGCAUAGGAUUAAAUAUUAACUAGUCCUGUGGCCUGAAUUUCAGCUGUGUGCUCUCUGAGUGCUUAUGUUAUAUAGAAAUCUAAUGACACUUCAACAGUGUAUUUGAUGGAAUCACUUUCUGAGAAUCUAGACCUUAAUAUGCAGUAGGAAGAAGUAUUGUUUUAAUGGGAAUAUUUUCCUUUGUUUGGAAGGAGGAAUAAUACUCUGUAUCUGUGCAAGUUCUGUUCUUCUGUGGGUCUUGGCUUUCAAUGCAUCUGUCAGGCAUCUGGAAAAUAGAAAUAAAUGCACAUGGUCAUUUUUGAAUUCACUGGAGAGAUUCUAAGUACAUGUUCUUUAACUUCUGCUCUAAAUGAUGAUUCAGUAGAAUGACAAAUGUUUGUAUUGCCAGUCUCAUACAAAUGAUUUUCCUGACAAAUGAAGAAGCAUUCUUUAUCCGACAGUGUUCUGAAGGCACUAGGUAUAUGUGAAAGAUGUCAGGAUUUUCCCAUCUCUUUAAUUAAAACCAAAACAAAAAAACUCCCACCAUAAAUGCUUAAAUCCUGAAAUAUUUUAAGGGUGAAAUGAAACUGAGUUGCAUCAUGCUGCUCCAAGAAUUUAAAUUCUGCAUCUGUCAAAGGUGGGCAUUCCUGUCCUUAAGGAUGUAAUGAAAACUGUUGCAUGGGGUUAUUUACAGUAAAAGGCCUCAUACUCAGGACCUGGAGAAGACCAGAAGAAGCCCCCUGUUACAAACUUCUGAUGACAGUGUUUUUGGGUGCAGAUGGGGUCUUCAGCACCACCAGUUUUAUAAGAACCACAGGAAGAACUCAACAAGGCUGAGGAAGACUUGAAAUAAAAGCUCUUCUGGGGAACUUAUGCCAAAACACUUUGGGCAGACAUUUGGAAAACUUGUCCUCAGCGGAAAAGUAAUUUUAGAUUUGUUCUUUCUCAGUAAUUCUUGUGUGGUUUUUCUUCUUUUUAUUUCUUCACCUUCAAAGUUGUCUUGCUGCUAAUGCAUCCUAACUGAAUGAGAUAACUAUUCUUUAAUUGCACUUCCUACCCCAGAAGAAGAAUCUGUAAGGGAAUCACUUUGUUUUAUUUCCUUUUUGCUUUCAACUCAGUACCAUUCUUGAAUUUUACUGGCACUUAUGCAGACUUUUUAAAGCACUAUAUACAUCUACGUUUUCCUUGCUUUGUCAUUCUGUCUAACUUAUUUUCUAAAAGUACCUUAAUGUAUCCUGAAUCAGCAGAUUCUUCAGACUUACUGGUUUGAUAAAACUUCAGCUACACUGAGCCUUUUGUUAUAUUAGCUAUGCUUCCAAAGAUUGCUUUUUAAAUUGUAAGUAAAAAGAAUCAAGCACUUAACACUAUGGCUGUCACUUCUCUCUCCUUUGAACUGCAGGUGCAAAUAAAGUAUGAAAUGGCAUAUGGA